UCGUAUAUUGCAUAACGGUCAAUGGUAUCGUGUUCACAUCUCGGCGAUAUUUCGGGGUUCAAUUCCCUGUCUAUGAA